rnacentral:rRNA from 1 species
GAGUAAUGUCUGGGAAACUGCCUGAUGGAGGGGGAUAACUACUGGAAACGGUGGCUAAUACCGCAUAACGUCGCAAGACCAAAGAGGGGGACCUUCGGGCCUCUUGCCAUCAGAUGUGCCCAGAUGGGAUUAGCUUGUUGGUGAGGUAACGGCUCACCAAGGCGACGAUCCCUAGCUGGUCUGAGAGGAUGACCAGCCACACUGGAACUGAGACACGGUCCAGACUCCUACGGGAGGCAGCAGUGGGGAAUAUUGCACAAUGGGCGCAAGCCUGAUGCAGCCAUGCCGCGUGUAUGAAGAAGGCCUUCGGGUUGUAAAGUACUUUCAGCGGGGAGGAAGGUGUUGUGGUUAAUAACCGCAGCAAUUGACGUUACCCGCAGAAGAAGCACCGGCUAACUCCGUGCCAGCAGCCGCGGUAAUACGGAGGGUGCAAGCGUUAAUCGGAAUUACUGGGCGUAAAGCGCACGCAGGCGGUCUGUCAAGUCGGAUGUGAAAUCCCCGGGCUCAACCUGGGAACUGCAUUCGAAACUGGCAGGCUUGAGUCUUGUAGAGGGGGGUAGAAUUCCAGGUGUAGCGGUGAAAUGCGUAGAGAUCUGGAGGAAUACCGGUGGCGAAGGCGGCCCCCUGGACAAAG